UAAGAAACAAUCACCUUCUUCACGUUCUGAAACAAUGGAAUUCCAGGGUUUGUCGUGUUCAUUAUCCUCUGCUCUGAUAAACUGAUGAAGAGUUUCUGGAAAGUUGUGUAAGACGAAUCUUGGUGCCAAUCUCUGGGUCGAGCUAUGUUCGUGUCGGUUUGUCUGCAAUUCAUCUCCUCUGAAACGUUACGGGAUGCAUUAACCAUUCGCCUUUAACACAGCCUUCUUAACUCCCUCGCCUCAUUCAAUGCCUAUUAGAGGUGGUGGAUCUCCACCUAUAAAAGGGUGUAUCUUUCUCAAACACAUAAGAGACAUUAACCCUAGCAUUUUCUCAAUAUUGCAGAGUACUUGGAGUGGAUUUUGUAACGGAUGAUGUCAAAUGAAGGUCAAAAGGGUUUGCUUAUGUCACAUUCUCUUCUAAAGGAGAAGCUGUGAAAGCUUUAUGAGAGCUAAACGGACAGUUUGUAGACGGGCGGCUUUUGAUUCUUAGCACAACAAGAGUUGUAAACCAGAAUCGACCCUUCUUGCAUAUCAAAGACCCCAACACAAUCCGCAGUCAAUCUGCAGUCCCUGGUCUUGGUUUAGGAUUCAUCGAUGAUGGUAUAGUGGUUAUUGGUCAAGAAUAGGUGUGCUCUCCUGAUCCUUCGAAUUGAGUUUCAGUGUGGAAGAACGAGAAUCAACCAUGGUCUCUCAUGAGGUUCCAUUGUCGCGCAAUAGCUCAUAAUUCUUCUGUAUUUUCAAUUUGUAGAAAGUAGCUUAAAAAGUCUAAAAGAUACUUGGCUUGAUGAUAGUAGAGUAACAUGUGAGAAAAUCACUAUAAAAAAUUGUCAACCUUUUUGUUUUUUGAUCGUGAGUACAAGAAUAUAGAAUGUGUAUUAGAAUAUGUUAUUUUUGCUUCGAUUCUUUCAUA